CGCGUAGUUUUUGAGUUAUGGCCAUAGCAACACCAUAGCAACGAGGGACGCGCCGUCCUGCCGACCCCUACCUCGUGACGUAACUUCCAGGAAGCCUCGCCACCACUCUGAACACGGAAAUAUAGCACCACGCUAUCCUCGCCAUAUAUUGCAAACAUUUUCUGGGUUUUACUCGCGGGAUUCGUCAUGCCAUCUCGAUGUGUAGCGAUAUGAAUUACUCACAGGAAGACUCGAGACUCUAGGAGUGGUCCAAAAAAAAACUUCUCCUGUAAAGCCACGACAGCUUUGAAAACCUACAACAAUGCAACCUUGGUUUUCCAAAGACGAAGCCAAACAUAAAAAAUUAAGUGGCGGAAACCCUCAACACGAUGAAAAAAGCGUUGCAAGUCAGUUGCCACCCAGUUUCCCAAAAUCAAGCGAGAGUGGGUCGAGUCAUAUGAUGACCGAAGUGAUGCGGUGUCCAGCGAUGACGACUGAAGAGAUCCUAUCAGGCCUGCCAGAUGCUGAAUUUCUUCCGUCUGCGACAUCAGAUGACGAUGAUUUAGGAGAAAUAAAUGUAGCAAAUUUUGAUAUGAAAUCAUAAACUAGUCAUAUAUACAGUACACAUUUUUUAAAAGAAAAAUCAAGUUACCUUCAUAUUUUAAUGAUAAUGCAUUAUCUUUGUAUAGAGAACACUUCAUGCUACAGAAAAGAGUAAAUACAUAUUUCCCACUGCCAUUAUCAUUUUUCAAUGUUGCGCUAGUCCGUUGCUAUCCUAACUUUGUGUUGCUUACUAAAAUUAUGCUCUUUGAUGUGUGCCGUUGUGUGCUUGGUAUAACAUGUUGUGUCACAAUCUGACAACGAAAGCUAAUGCUGAUUCAACAUAAACCUGGUAUCAUUUAUUAUUGCGGCCUAUUGAAUAUUUUUUCAGAAUGUAAUAUAAUUACAAUAUAUUAUAUACCAAUAGAAUACAUUAAACAGUCAACAAAAUGUGUCAAUGUUGUUAACAAUUUAUGGUUUUAUUUUUUAAAUGAAAUUCAUGCCCCUGUCAGUGCUUCAGCCUCAGCAAGUUUGGCUCUCACGUCUGACCAAACACUGCUAAAUGCAUGCUAACUACACAUAUAAUAAGAAAAUAUCCCACAUUGUUAAUUUAUGACGGAAACUAUGGCGAAUUUUCAUCUCGUUCUCGUGCUGUCAGAUGACAGCUGGCUUUCAUCUCGUUAUGUUUUAGUCUCCCAAGACAUGUUUUCAGCGCGUCACGUCAUGAAAAAAAAUUGUUCAUUAAGAUAAUAAAAUAUUUUCGUUAUCAUCAUCGUUGACCAAAACAAAACUGAUGUUAACCUUCACUCCUGUAUUACUUUCAAUAAAGUUCCAUUAGAAAUAUUUUCUCACUUUUGUGCUGCAUUUGAGUCCAACAAUACACCCUUGUUUCAGAGACCGACAUACUGUAUAGUAUAAUCAAACCUCAGGAGAAAAAAUGUUUUGUAAAUAA